UGGCUCCCAGCUCCAUUCUGAGGAGUUGGAAUCCCACCCAGUCCUGUUGUUGUGAUCUCAAUUCAAGAGGAAGGUGUGAUAUGGCGUCUGUCUGGGUUGGACACCGAGGGACAAUGAGAGAUCAUCCAGGCUUUAACCCAUCUGUGGAUGCUGAGGCGAUUCAUAAGGCAGUCAGAGAAAUCGGUGAGUGAUGCUUUACAGCUCCUUUCUUAAUGCUAAAGCAGAUCAGGAAAGUUAAAUCCAAAAAUGCAUAGGUUCAAUUUGCCUAAGUUGCCUUAUCAAUUAGAGAUUGUAAGGCACUUAAAAAAAAAAAAAAAACAACUUUUUUUUUUCUGCCCACUCCACUGUGUAUGGAGUUUCCAGGCCAGGGAUCAGAUCUGAGCCCAGUUAGGACCUAUGCUGCCACGGAGACAACGCCUGAUCCUUUAAUGCUCUGUGCCCAGCAGGAGGAUCAAACCCGUAUCCUGGUGCUGCAGGGAUUCCACCAAUCCCCUCGUGUCACAGCAGGAGUUCCAAGGCACUUUUAAAAAUUAUGAAAUAAUUAGGAAAAGUAUAGGAAACCCAGUUCUAUUUAAUCUUAAUAUUUACUGUAUUUACUUAAUACUAAACACUACCAUCAGCACUGCCAUCUCAGCAUCAAUCAUUAUAGGUACAGUCCCUGCCGAUUCUGCCUGGAUCUCAUUCCUCAGAGAUAAGCAAGAGUUUAUUCCUAUGAAACUUUUAUUUAUUUAUUUGCUUUUUAGGGCUGUACCUGCAGUAUAUGGAAGCUCCCAGGCUAGAAGUUGAAUCAGAGCUACAGCUGCUGGCCUGCACCACAGCCACAGCAAUACGGGACCCGAGCCGAGUCUGCAACCUACACCGCAGCUCAUGGCAACGCUGGACCCUUAACCCACUGAGCAAGGCCAAGGAUCAAACCCGCAUCCUCAUGGAUACUAGUUGGGUGCAUUACUGCUGGGCCACAAUGGAAACUCCUAUUCCCAUGAAACUUUUAAUCCUGUAACUCCAUAUGUGUGUACAUAGGCUCAAACAGUAUCAGUUGAAAUCAUCCUGGAUAUAUGCUUCUGCAACUUGUUUUUCUCCCUUGACAUUAUGUUUUGGAGAUGUAGCCAUGUUGAUAUGUUGAGCUCUAGUUCAUUAAUUUUAACUGCAGAGUAGUCUAUUGAAUUAUUACAUCCUAAUUGAUGUAAUUGUAUUGAUGGAGCAUUUAAAUCGCCUGCAGUUCUUUCCUAUUACAGUAUAAAAAUACUGCAUUGAAUAGCAAUGUGCUUCUGCCUUGUGCACAUUUGCCAGCAUCUCUUAAAAUAUAAUGGUUGGAAUCUUUUGGUUGAAGGGGAUGUUUCUUUCCAAAUUAACUAGAAAUUUCCCCAGACUCCGUUCUCAAGUGAGUAUACAAAUUAGCAUUCCUACAGGCAAUAUGUGAGACUUCAUCUUGCCCCAUCUCCUCAUCAAUUCUUGCUGCAGUCAUCCUAUUCAGUUUUUCCCACUGAGUGGGUCUAAAAUGAUCUCAUUCUGUAUCUGUUUCCUUCCUCUUCUCCCUCCCCUUACUGAUGAGGUGAAGCAUCCUUUCUUCUUUAUUUGCUUCCUCUCCCAUGAAUUACUUCUUCACAUCUUUUAUCCAUUUUUUCAGUUGGCUGUCUUCUUUGUGCCGGGCAAGAUUUAUUUUAAAAUAAAUUCUUGGCGUUCCCAUCAUGGUGCAGCGUAAACGAAUCCUACUAGGAUCCAUGAGGAUGAGGGUUAGAUCCCUAGCAUUAUUCAGUGGGUUGAAGAUCUGGCGUUGCUAUGAGCUGCGGUGUAGAUUGCCGAUGUGGCUCAGAUCCCAUGUUGCUGUGUCUGUGGAGUAGGCUGGCCGCUGUAGCUCCAGUUGGACCCCUAACCUGGGAACUUCCAUAUGCGGCC
rnacentral:lncRNA from 1 species